AGAGUUUGAUCCUGGCUCAGGAUGAACGCUAGCGGCAGGCUUAAUACAUGCAAGUCGAACGGGAUUCGGGGUAGCAAUACUUUGAUGAGAGUGGCGCACGGGUGCGUAACGCGUAUGCAACCUACCUUUAACAGGGGAAUAGCCCCGAGAAAUCGGGAUUAAUACUCCGUAACAUUGCGGUGUGGCAUCACACUGCAAUUAAAGAUUUAUCGGUUAAAGAUGGGCAUGCGUGACAUUAGCUAGUUGGUGAGGUAACGGCUCACCAAGGCAACGAUGUCUAGGGGUCCUGAGAGGGUUAUCCCCCACACUGGUACUGAGACACGGACCAGACUCCUACGGGAGGCAGCAGUAAGGAAUAUUGGUCAAUGGGCGCAAGCCUGAACCAGCCAUGCCGCGUGCAGGAAGACGGCCCUAUGGGUUGUAAACUGCUUUUAUCAGGGAAUAAACCCCCGCUCGUGAGCGGGGCUGAAGGUACCUGAAGAAUAAGCAUCGGCUAACUCCGUGCCAGCAGCCGCGGUAAUACGGAGGAUGCAAGCGUUAUCCGGAUUCAUUGGGUUUAAAGGGUGCGCAGGCGGAUUGGUAAGUCAGGGGUGAAAUCCCACAGCUCAACUGUGGAACUGCCUUUGAUACUGUCAGUCUAGAGUAUAGUUGAAGUUGGCGGAAUGUGUCAUGUAGCGGUGAAAUGCUUAGAUAUGACACAGAACACCGAUCGCGAAGGCAGCUAGCUAAGCUAUAACUGACGCUCAUGCACGAAAGCGUGGGGAUCAAACAGGAUUAGAUACCCUGGUAGUCCACGCUGUAAACGAUGAUUACUCGAUGUUGGCGAUACACAGUCAGCGUCUGAGCGAAAGCAAUAAGUAAUCCACCUGGGGGAGUACGAUCGCAAGAUUGAAACUCAAAGGAAUUGACGGGGGGCCCGCACAAGCGGAGGAGCAUGUGGUUUAAUUCGAUGAUACGCGAGGAACCUUACCUGGGCUCGA
rnacentral:rRNA from 1 species